rnacentral:rRNA from 1 species
AGCGAACGCUAGCGGCGGGCUUAACACAUGCAAGUCGAGCGCCUUUCUUCGGAAAGGAGCGGCGAACGGGUGAGUAACACGUAGGUUACCUGCCCUCUGGUGAGGGACAACCGAUGGAAACGUCGGCUAAUACCACAUAUGGGCUACGGCUCAAAGACUUCGGUCGCCAGAGGAUGGGCCUGCGUCCCAUUAUUUAGUCCUUGUUGGUGGGGUAACGGCCUACCAAGGGUACGAUGGGUAGCUGGUCUGAGAGGAUGAUCAGCCACACUGGGACUGAGACACGGCCCAGACUCCUACGGGAGGCAGCAGUGGGGAAUCUUGCGCAAUGGGCGAAAGCCUGACGCAGCCACGCCGCGUGAGUGAUGAA